AAUUUAGUAAUUUUCCGUAUUAUUUUCUUAACUUGUGUUCUGGAGUUAUAUUCCUACCUAACUGAAGUUGUCGAGAAUUGUAUUCGGCAUAUUCAUUUAGUCCUAAUCAUAUUCAUGUAAAAUUAAAUUUAGGUUUAAGAAAUUUCAGCCCUUUACCACCGCCAACCCACGAAUAGCAGCUUAUCUCCUUUAGAAAAUGUGGUUCUUUUAGCAAUGAAUGGCAAGCUGACAUUUUCCAAUGAAAACUUGUAGAUAGUGUCUUAACAUUCUGCCUGGUUCCCCCCAUGCCCGCGUUAGAAGUGGCUACUGGCUACAAUUUUCAGACUCUGUACCAACUAUUCUGGUAACUGACGGUGACUGAGUUGAAGACUUGAAGUGAGUUGUCAGUGUUGAGAGGUCUUUUAUUACUAUUCCGCGGUGGCCUAGACUAUGGCAGUUGCGGUUUUUCUAUGCAGUUUUACCUCUUGAACAAGAAUUUUAAGUAAUAUUGAUUCGGACUACUGUAAUUAACCCCCAGGGGCCAGUACUAAACACGGCGAAAUACAUUGGACGCCCCCCAAUCCCUAGUGGAUGUCGUAUCCGCGUUUACGUUCCUUGCAGUGCGGAAUUAUUUAGAUUACCUCGGCUCAGUGUUUAGUUGGCAUGCGUGGAAAGUGACCGCGUUAAUAUGUUGGAGGAACGGGACUGAAAUUUCGGAUUAAAAAUACCUUUUCGCUGAAGACAUUACAACUAAUUUUGAUAUUGCACGUGUCUUCACAAAGCUUUGCAUUAAAAAAAGAAAAGUGUUUGGAGCUUUUCCUGGCGCUGAUGGAAGUAAACGUGUGUUGAACUAGCCUAUCGCUUGCUGUAGAGCCCAUUUUGGAAGACCCAUAGACUCCACGAAACUCUUGAUCUUGAUCGUAGGAUUUUUUAACUUGAAACGUUAUUGAUACCUAGUAUUGUGAAGAGAGCCAUUAGGCUAUAGAAGAACGUCAGAUGGUACCAAUUCUCUAUUGGAGACAGGUUCUUGUUGCUGCCAAAUUCCCACAUGAGAGAAAGCAACAGUUUGUUGAAUGAUGUCCAAAUGACUCGGGUAUCAUCGUGUCAGCCCUUGAGCGCUUUUUACGUGGGCGGCCGUUCAGCUUGACUCCUCCUUAUCGUUAUCAACUGAGGACGAUUUCCGAUGAGGCAAGACGUCUGGAGAAUGAUGAUAAGAAUUACAUCAUUUCAACGUUUAUCUCAUUUCGUCAACUGUCAGUGUGACCGCAAGUUACCGGGCGUCAUCUGCAGCCUGAAUGAACAAUACCGGAUGCGGAUGGGGUGAAAUUCGGCUGCGCAGUUUGUUGUGCAGUAGUAUUAGGAAGUGGU